UACGUAGGGGGCAAGCGUUGUCCGGAUUUAUUGGGCGUAAAGAGCGUGUAGGCGGCUUUACAGGUCCGCUGUGAAAACUCGAGGCUCAACCUCGAGCUGUCGGUGGAAACCGUAAAGCUAGAGUCCGGAAGAGGAGAGUGGAAUUCCCGGUGUAGCGGUGAAAUGCGCAGAUAUCGGGAAGAACACCCGUGGCGAAGGCGGCAUCCUGGACCAACACUGACGCUGAGUGAGCGAAAGCCAGGGGAGCAAACGGG
rnacentral:rRNA from 1 species